rnacentral:rRNA from 1 species
AGCGAACGCUGGCGGCAGGCCUAACACAUGCAAGUCGAACGAACUCUUCGGAGUUAGUGGCGGACGGGUGAGUAACCCGUGGGAACGUGCCUUUAGGUUCGGAAUAACUCAGGGAAACUUGUGCUAAUACCGAAUGUGCCCUUCGGGGGAAAGAUUUAUCGCCUUUAGAGCGGCCCGCGUCUGAUUAGCUAGUUGGUGAGGUAAAGGCUCACCAAGGCGACGAUCAGUAGCUGGUCUGAGAGGAUGAUCAGCCACAUUGGGACUGAGACACGGCCCAAACUCCUACGGGAGGCAGCAGUGGGGAAUCUUGCGCAAUGGGCGAAAUCCUGACGCAGCCAUGCCGCGUGAAUGAUGAAGGUCGUAGGAUUGUAAAAUUCUUUCACCGGGGACGAUAAUGACGGUACCCGGAGAAGAAGCCCCGGCUAACUUCGUG